rnacentral:rRNA from 1 species
AGGGUUCGAUCCUGGCUCAGGAUGAACGCUAGCGGCAGGCUUAACACAUGCAAGUCGAGGGGUAACAGGGAUUGCUUGCAAUCCGCUGACGACCGGCGCACGGGUGCGUAACGCGUAUGCAACCUACCUUCUACAGGGGGAUAGCCCAGAGAAAUUUGGAAUAAUACCCCAUACGGUCAUCAAUUGGCAUCAAUAGAUGAAGAAAACUCCGGUGGUAGAAGAUGGGCAUGCGUCCUAUUAGUUAGUUGGUAAGGUAACGGCUUACCAAGACAUCGAUAGGUAGGGGUCCUGAGAGGGAGAUCCCCCACACUGGUACUGAGACACGGACCAGACUCCUACGGGAGGCAGCAGUGAGGAAUAUUGGACAAUGGAGGCAACUCUGAUCCAGCCAUGCCGCGUGCAGGAAGACGGCCCUAUGGGUUGUAAACUGCUUUUAUACAGGAAGAAUUGUACCUACGUGUAGGUAUUUGACGGUACUGUACGAAUAAGGAUCGGCUAACUCCGUGCCAGCCGCCGCGGUAAUAC